GAAGCUAUUGGUAGAGAUGAUUACACACACCAGACAGGGUGUGUGGGACCAUUGUUAUAAGGAAAAGUCAAACUGAAGGACUAAUUUUUCCUCAUAAUAUAUGUUGCUGAAAAAGAAAGAAAGAAAAGAUCUCUAGGUCUCUGUUUUGGAACAGAUCCAAAAGUGUUUGCCAAGAGUGUUUUCUUGAACAGACAAAUGGGACAGUAUAUCACCCAAAGAAGCUGUACUCUCUGAAUGUAUUUGAAAAUGAGUCAGAAUAGCACAUUUGGAAGACAAGUUGGAUAGGGAUCACUAAGUUAUUUGCAAGACAGGAGACUUUUGCAGACCAUCAUUACAAACUACAAAGAAUGAGAGGUAGAGGGUAUUGGAACUGAAUUAUAGACUUCAAUAACUUGUGCAGAAUCAUGGCUGUAGUCUAUUUGAGUCAGCAUCUCUGUAAUGAUGGACUAUCUGGAUAUUUACCUGCUUCAUCAGCCUGUUUUCAGGUUUGCAGAUGGGACCUAGUGAUAUACAGGAGAGGUUGUAAACAUUUAAAAUGAGGAGACUACUGGAGCUAAAAUAAUUAUCUUUGGGUAGUGAGAUCUUAAGAUAUUCACAGAGGACUCCUCUAGGGAAUUCUGGUAGAAAAGAUCUAAGAGGAAAUCUUGCUGAAUUGAAUAGCAAUGAAGAAUUGCUACUAGGUGAUGAGUCUGAAGAUGCAACUGGCUGCCUGAAGCCAAAAUGGAGGACUCUGUACCUAUCUUCUGGUAGAUCAGCAUUAUACCAACAAACUGUUCUCCAAGGAGUGCGAUGAAGUAUGCUCCCCAGAGACAUCCAGGAGUUCCUAUCCAAGCCUGCAUUGCAGGGGCUACAAUCCCAAUGUACUUUGCUGAAGAUCAGGUUUGGUUGCUCAGUAAAUACAGAUUGCUCAAUAGAAAGGAAAGUAGAUUCAUAUUGUGUGCCCAGUAGACUGAGACCAACUUGACACUCUGGUAUAUCUUUAUACUGGCUCAGGGUCCUUUUCUGAUUCUUUCUUUGUUUCUUCCUAUAUGCGGUAUUGGAGAGGUAACUGAGCAAAAGCAGAUGUCUGAAUAGGUUAUAAAAGAGAUGCCCUGUUUAAAAAGAAAAACACAAACACACUUUGCGUGUUCUCUUUCUUGUCCAAAUUCUGAGAGCUUUGGGAAUUUGCAGUUAGUGAACUCUUCACACCUUAAAUGCUAAUUUUAAUAUGCAUGUCAUGUUUGAGAAAUGUCAGCAGAAAAGACUGAAUAAUACUUGUUGCCUAUUCAUCUGAAGUACAUAAUUGCUCCAGCUGACAUGUAUGAAUGCACUUUCAUUAUCGUGUCAAGAGGACACUUUGUGCUUGCAAAUGAACAAUGUUUGGGGUUGGCAAUAAAAUGGGAAGCACUUGCUUAAAUAAAGUUUAUUAUAGGUUUUUAGAAAAGUGUAAUUAUGAAGUGUUCAUACUGGAUGAGAACACUGUUUCUGAAGUGUUAACUUUAAUACGGAAAUAGAGUUAUGGUUUAAAGAGGAAGACUGCAUUUAGGCUUUACUAAACUAAACACAAUAUGAAUGUGAAAUAAUGCUAUUUUAUUUGCUUGUCCAAACAAUACUCAGUGGGUAUGUGAGCUGGUCCUGCAACCUGUCUAAGGACUGGCAACCUUCUAUGCUGAAAUCAGUCUACUCGUUCAGUCACCAGAGGUGGAAAAUGAAUGUUUAAAUGUAGAGAUCUGAUCUGAGAGUCCAAGGUGAAGUGUUCAAUGCUGCAGUUAAAUCAGCCUGGGAGCUAAUGGCAAAACCAAUAAUACUAACUUUUGAUGUGGAUAUGUGGAUAAUAGGAAAAUAUUCCCUGUUUAAAAAAAAAAAAAAAAAGAAAAAAAAUAAAUAGUGGUACUACAAGCUUCAUUCAGGAUCUGUAUUUUAUAGACAGGGAAACUGAGGAAGAAAGAAUAAGGCGAGGACUGUGGCACAUGGAUUUUCAUGCCAAACUCUGCAAACUUCUGGCAUUCACUUGUGCUUUUGGCCUUGACUUUUGGCCUCUAGCUUUCUGCAGAAGUCCUUUAUUACAGAGAAUUAAAUAGGAUUUUUUAUAUGUCUAAACAUAGGUAUCCAGCUUCCAUGGGUACUCACUUGGAAGCCACUUCCAAAACCUCUGGAAGUUCCAAGACAUCAAAGCUGGUAUUCAAAUCUAUGAGCUACUGGCUACCACCUUUGUGCCUGGCACAUUUAUUAUAUGGAACACAUGAAUUAGGUUAUGAUUUGACUCAUGUACUGCUGUUGGUUUAUAUCAAGGACUGGUGAAUUAUGGGUUGCAAUCUCUGGAGAAACAUUGGAUGAGUCUCUGUAGUCUGUUAAUAUCACCUCUGCUGUAGAGUUAAGUAGCAGAGGGAAAUGUAGGAUGUGAAGUACCAGCUGGGUGAACCAAGUAGGAGAGCUGCUGGAAGGUGUAGUCUCAGCUGGAGGUGGACAUAGCAGUCAGCAGCAGCUGGCACAACCUGGAGAUACACCCAUCUGGGGGCUGCAGACAGAGUUUAGCACGGGAAGCUGGGAAAUGUAUUCAUUCAUCACCUCCACUAGACAACCUCUGCCAGCAAGGCUGUCAUGGGGCCUCUGGCAUCAAAUGAAAGCUGAAGCCCUGAGGGAGCACAGAUGGCAGUGUUAUUUUUCAGUGUGAUGAAUUCCCUCUUGCAGGUACUUUUUUGCAUUAUGCCAUGCUAGGAAGAGUGAAUCUGAUCUAUACUGCAUUCAGGAGUUAAUAGGAAGUCGUUUAAAAUUUUGUUAUUAUUCAGUACUUCUAUCACUAUGUAAAGGUAAGCUACUGCUCUUAAAGGAAUUCUCCCCAAAUCAGAACUUCUCAGUUCCAUAUUUUCCUUUGUUCUUUAAGAGAUUUUCACAAAUUUCAGCCAUGCUGCUGUGCUUAAAAGGCUAGUGAUUGUCCCAGCAGCAAGGCGGAUUUUGCACAAAGUAAAUAAUAAUUCAAGUCCUAUGAAAGAUUCACUGUCCAUUUAUGGAGAGAGUUCAGAUGUAUUGCCCUAGAAGCUCCUGUAUUUUUGUCUGCAUUUUAAAAAUGUUGUAAUGUUCACAUUUUUUCUACUUGGUCUAGAUGGUUAAUGCCUGUUCUUUGUGUGUUCUGUUUUGUUUUUGAGGAAAUAAGAACAAUAAAAUAAAACCAUUUAAGAAGUC